GGAGAAAUACAGGAUCAGCAACAAUUCUAGUCAUCCUAAGAAGUAAACUCAUGUUAAGAGAGAAUGCAGAGCUCAUUUGCAUAACUCAAACGACCAGCCACCUGUUGCUCCAAUUUGUGCUUGAAUGAAACAGCCCCAGGUUCUGUUGCAUCAGCUGAGAACAGACCGAGUGCAGCACUGCUCUUGGCCAAACCUUUGGCAAAGCCCAACUGGGGGAGCUCAGCUAUGAGGGGCGCAUCCAAGGAAGCCCCUCUGCUGCAUGACAUUAACAGAACGCUGCCUGAAGAUCACUCUUUCAAAGCUUACCAGAAAUACAAAUUUAUGCAGCUGCUGUUAAACUCCAAGAG